GGGCUCGUAGCGUAGUCAGGACAACGCGCCGGCCUUCGGAGCCGGAGAACAGGGGUUCAAAUCCCCUCGAGCCCGCCA
rnacentral:tRNA from 1 species